rnacentral:lncRNA from 1 species
AGCAUGAGUCAUCUCGUUCCAAUGAGAAUGAAGGCUGAGGUGUGCGCCUUUUUUUUUUUUCCUUCUUAGUCGUGUGUACAUCAUUGGGAAUGGAGGGAAAUAAAUGACUGGAUGGUCGCUGCUUUUUAAGUUUCAAAUUGACAUUCCAGACAAGCGGUGCCUGAGCCCGUGCCUGUCUUCAGAUCUUCACAGCACAGUUCCUGGGAAGGUGGAGCCACCAGCCUCUCCCUGAAUAACUGGGAGAUGAAACAGGAAGCUCUAUGACACACUUGAUCGAAUAUGACAGACACUGAAAAUCACGACUCAUCCCCCUCCAGCACCUCUACCUGUUGCCCGCCGAUCACAGCCGGAAUGCAGCUGAAAGAUUCCCUGGGGCCUGGUUCCAACUGCCCACUGUGGACUCUGAGGCCUCUGCAUUUGCGGGUGGUCUGCCUGUGAUAUUUUGGUCAUGGGCUGGUCUGGUCGGUUUCCCAUUUGUCUGGCCAGUCUCUGUGUGUCUUAAUCCCUUGUCCUUCAUUAAAAGCAAAACUAAAGAAAACAGAA